rnacentral:rRNA from 1 species
GAUGAACGCUGGCGGCGUGCCUAAUACAUGCGAGCCGAGCGAACGGACGAGAAGCUUGCUUCUCUGAUGUUAGCGGCGGACGGGUGAGUAACACGUGGAUAACCUACCUAUAAGACUGGGAUAACUUCGGGAAACCGUAGCUAAUACCGGAUAAUAUUUUGAACCGCAUGGUUCAAAAGUGAAAGACGGUCUUGCUGUCACUUAUAGAUGGAUCCGCGCUGCAUUAGCUAGUUGGUAAGGUAACGGCUUACCAAGGCAACGAUGCAUAGCCGACCUGAGAGGGUGAUCGGCCACACUGGAACUGAGACACGGUCCAGACUCCUACGGGAGGCAGCAGUAGGGAAUCUUCCGCAAUGGGCGAAAGCCUGACGGAGCAACGCCGCGUAAGUGAUGAAGGUCUUCGGAUCGUAAAACUCUGUUAUUAGGGAAGAACAUAUGUGUAAGUAACUGUGCACAUCUUGACGGUACCUAAUCAGAAAGCCACGGCUAACUACGUG